rnacentral:rRNA from 1 species
UACGAAGGGGGCUAGCGUUGCUCGGAAUCACUGGGCGUAAAGGGUGCGUAGGCGGGUCUUUAAGUCAGGGGUGAAAUCCUGGAGCUCAACUCCAGAACUGCCUUUGAUACUGAGGAUCUUGAGUUCGGGAGAAGUGAGUGGAACUGCGAGUGUAGAGGUGAAAUUCGUAGAUAUUCGCAAGAACACCAGUGGCGAAGGCAGCUCGCUGGAACGGUACUGACGCUGAGGCGCGAAAGCGUGGGGAGCGAACAGG